rnacentral:piRNA from 1 species
UGGGUGUGAAGAAACAAGUCUCAGAGAGGCC